rnacentral:rRNA from 1 species
GGGGGACCUUCGGGCCUCUUGCCAUCGGAUGUGCCCAGAUGGGAUUAGCUAGUAGGUGGGGUAACGGCUCACCUAGGCGACGAUCCCUAGCUGGUCUGAGAGGAUGACCAGCCACACUGGAACUGAGACACGGUCCAGACUCCUACGGGAGGCAGCAGUGGGGAAUAUUGCACAAUGGGCGCAAGCCUGAUGCAGCCAUGCCGCGUGUAUGAAGAAGGCCUUCGGGUUGUAAAGUACUUUCAGCGGGGAGGAAGGGAGUAAAGUUAAUACCUUUGCUCAUUGACGUUACCCGCAGAAGAAGCACCGGCUAACUCCGGCCAGCAGCCGCGGUAAUCCGGAGGGU